UACGAAGGGGGCUAGCGUUGCUCGGAAUGACUGGGCGUAAAGGGCGCGUAGGCGGAUGGCACAGUCAGAUGUGAAAUUCCCGGGCUUAACCUGGGGGCUGCAUUUGAUACGUGUUGUCUAGAGUGAGGAAGAGGGUUGUGGAAUUCCCAGUGUAGAGGUGAAAUUCGUAGAUAUUGGGAAGAACACCGGUGGCGAAGGCGGCAACCUGGUCCUUGACUGACGCUGAGCGCGAAAGCGUGGGGAGCAAACAGG
rnacentral:rRNA from 1 species